rnacentral:tRNA from 1 species
GCCGAAGUGGCGGAACAGGUAGACGCGCGGGUCUCAAAAACCCGUCCGCCUCGCGCGGGUGUGGGUUCGACCCCCACCUUCGGCACCG